GGCGGGGUGGCCAAGAGGUGAGACGUUGGUGUUUUAGACCAAAGGUCAUGGGUUCAACCCCCAUCCACCCCU
rnacentral:tRNA from 1 species